rfam:Nicotiana sylvestris Nsyl_contig115666, whole genome shotgun sequence.
UGGACAGAUUAUUGUAUUCGACUGUAUUCACGUCGUGAAAUAGGGGAUUACACUGUUUUUAAACGGAAAGUGAAUCAAUUAACAUAAUAGACUCCU